UACGUAGGGUGCAAGCGUUAAUCGGAAUUACUGGGCGUAAAGCGUGCGCAGGCGGUUAUGCAAGACAGAUGUGAAAUCCCCGGGCUUAACCAGGGAACCGCAUUUGUGACUGCAUAGCUGGAGUACGGCAGAGGGGGAUGGAAUUCCGCGUGUAGCAGUGAAAUGCGUAGAUAUGCGGAGGAACACCGAUGGCGAAGGCAGUCCCCUGGGCCUGUACUGACGCUCAUGCACGAAAGCGUGGGUAGCAAACAGG
rnacentral:rRNA from 1 species